UUUAAUUGUUGUAAUAUAUAAAGGAUUACGUAAAUAUAUAGUAUUGUGGUUUAAAUAUAUAUUAAUGAACGAUUUAUGUAUUUCGUUAAUUACUAGUGUUUUCAAAUUUUGAUUUUAAAAUUACAAUAACAUGAUUUUAAAUAUGUAAUUUAUUUUAUUUGAACUGUUUUUUAAACUGUUAUAAACUAUUUUAUCUUCUUGGUCUGUCUUUCUUUCACAUGAUUUGAUAUUCACAGUUUGAACUCCAAGAGGAGAUAUAAGGUCUCCUUGUUGGAAACCUGUUGGUUGGUCCGAUGUAGUCCCAUUGAUUCUGGCCGGAAACAAAAGAGAACUGAUACACGAUAUAAUCC
rnacentral:lncRNA from 1 species